rnacentral:rRNA from 1 species
ACUCCUGCGGGAGGCAGCAGUGGGGAAUUUUGGACAAUGGGCGAAAGCCUGAUCCAGCAAUGCCGCGUGAGUGAAGAAGGCCUUCGGGUUGUAAAGCUCUUUUGUCAGGGAAGAAACGGUGAAAGCUAAUAUCUUUUGCUAAUGACGGUACCUGAAGAAUAAGCACCGGCUAACUACGUGCCAGCAGCCGCGGUAAUACGUAGGGUGCAAGCGGUAAUCGGAAUUACUGGGCGUAAAGCGUGCGCAGGCGGUUUUGUAAGUCUGAUGUGAAAUCCCCGGGCUCAACCUGGGAAUUGCAUUGGAGACUGCAAGGCUAGAAUCUGGCAGAGGGGGGUAGAAUUCCACGUGUAGCAGUGAAAUGCGUAGAUAUGUGGAGGAACACCGAUGGCGAAGGCAGCCCCCUGGGUCAAGAUUGACGCUCAUGCACGAAAGCGUGGGGAGCAAACAGGAUUAGAAACCCGGGUAGUCC